AUUGAACGCUGGCGGCAUGCCUUACACAUGCAAGUCGAACGGCAGCAUGAUCUAGCUUGCUAGAUUGAUGGCGAGUGGCGAACGGGUGAGUAAUACAUCGGAACGUGCCCUGUAGUGGGGGAUAACUAGUCGAAAGAUUAGCUAAUACCGCAUACGACCUGAGGGUGAAAGUGGGGGACCGCAAGGCCUCAUGCUAUAGGAGCGGCCGAUGUCUGAUUAGCUAGUUGGUGAGGUAAAGGCUCACCAAGGCGACGAUCAGUAGCUGGUCUGAGAGGACGAUCAGCCACACUGGGACUGAGACACGGCCCAGACUCCUACGGGAGGCAGCAGUGGGGAAUUUUGGACAAUGGGCGAAAGCCUGAUCCAGCAAUGCCGCGUGUGUGAAGAAGGCCUUCGGGUUGUAAAGCACUUUUGUCCGGAAAGAAAUGGCUCUGGUUAAGACCUGGGGUCGAUGACGGUACCGGAAGAAUAAGGACCGGCUAACUACGU
rnacentral:rRNA from 1 species